rnacentral:rRNA from 1 species
CAGCCAGACUCCUACGGGAGGCAGCAGUGGGGGAUAUUGCACAAUGGGGGAAACCCUGAUGCAGCGACGCCGCGUGAGUGAAGAAGUAUUUCGGUAUGUAAAGCUCUAUCAGCAGGGAAGAAGAUGACAGUACCUGAGUAAGAAGCCCCGGCUAACUACGUGCCAGCAGCCGCGGUAAUACGUAGGGGGCAAGCGUUAUCCGGAUUUACUGGGUGUACAGGGGGCGCAGACGGCGAUGCAAGCCAGGAGUGAAAGCCCGGGGCCCAACCCCGGGACUGCUCUUGGAACUGCGUGGCUGGAGUGCAGGAGGGGCAGGCGGAAUUCCUAGUGUAGCGGUGAAAUGCGUAGAUAUUAGGAGGAACACCAGUGGCGAAGGCGGCCGGCUGGACGGUGUACUGACGCUGAGGCUCGAAAGCGUGGGGAGCAAACAGGAUUAGAUACCCGCGUAGC